AUUGAACGCUAGCGGCAUGCUUAACACAUGCAAGUCGAACGGUAACAGGCCUAGCUUGCUAGGUGCUGACGAGUGGCGGACGGGUGAGUAACGCGUAGGAAUCUACCUAGUAGUGGGGGAUAACCUGGGGAAACCCAGGCUAAUACCGCAUAAGCCCUAAGGGGCAAAGCAGGGGACCGUAAGGCCUUGUGCUAUUAGAUGAGCCUGCGUCAGAUUAGCUAGUUGGUGGGGUAAAGGCCUACCAAGGCGAUGAUCUGUAGCUGGUCUGAGAGGACGACCAGCCACACUGGGACUGAGACACGGCCCAGACUCCUACGGGAGGCAGCAGUGGGGAAUAUUGGACAAUGGGCGCAAGCCUGAUCCAGCAAUGCCGCGUGUGUGAAGAAGGCCUGCGGGUUGUAAAGCACUUUUAGUGGGGAGGAAGGCCUCAAUAUUAAUACUAUUGAGGAUUGACGUUACCCACAGAAGAAGCACCGGCUAACUCUGUGCCAGCCGCCGCCGUAA
rnacentral:rRNA from 1 species